rnacentral:Y_RNA from 1 species
AGCUGGUCUAGGUGCAGUGGUGUUUACAACUAAUUGAUCACAACCAGUUAUAGAUUUCUUUGUUCCUUCUCUACUCCUACUGCAUUUGACUAGCCUAAA